GGAGGUUCUCACCCAAUAUUUGAUGGUACAUGGCCCAGUCCAUUGUCACUUUAAUGUGGUUUAGUUGUCCUGUCCCCUUAGCAGAAUAACACUACCAAAGCAUAAUGUUUCCACCUCCAUGUUUGACGGUGGGGAUGGUGUUCUUGAGGUCAUAGGCAGCAUUCCUCCUCCUCCAAACACAGCGAGUUGAGUUGAUGCCAAAGAGCUCG